CAGUCGCCGCGGUAAUACGAAGGGGGCUAGCGUUGCUCGGAAUCACUGGGCGUAAAGGGUGCGUAGGCGGGUCUUUAAGUCAGGGGUGAAAUCCUGGAGCUCAACUCCAGAACUGCCUUUGAUACUGAAGAUCUUGAGUUCGGGAGAGGUGAGUGGAACUGCGAGUGUAGAGGUGAAAUUCGUAGAUAUUCGCAAGAACACCAGUGGCGAAGGCGGCUCACUGGCCCGAUACUGACGCUGAGGCACGAAAGCGUGGGGAGCAAACAGGAUUAGAUACCCCAGUAGUCCCUGUCUCUUAUAC
rnacentral:rRNA from 1 species